AUUGAACGCUGGCGGCAUGCCUAACACAUGCAAGUCGAACGCGAAAAGUUCCUUCGGGGGCGAGUAGAGUGGCGGACGGGUGAGUAACGCGUGGGAAUCUGCCUCGUAGUGGGGGACAACCCGGGGAAACUCGGGCUAACACCGCAUACGUCCUACGGGAGAAAGAGGGCCUCUGCUUGCACGCUCUCGCUAUGAGAUGAGCCCGCGUCGGAUUAGCUUGUUGGUAGGGUAAAAGCCUACCAAGGCGACGAUCCGUAGCUGGUCUGAGAGGAUGAUCAGCCACACUGGGACUGAGACACGGCCCAGACUCCUACGGGAGGCAGCAGUGGGGAAUAUUGGACAAUGGGCGCAAGCCUGAUCCAGCAAUGCCGCGUGUGUGAAGAAGGCCUGCGGGUUGUAAAGCACUUUCAGUCCGGAAGAAAAAGCCUUGGGUUAAUACCUCAGGGCCCUGACGUUACCGACAGAAGAAGCACCGGCUAACUCCGUG
rnacentral:rRNA from 1 species